UUCCUUCUUGGUGGAGACCUUGAGUCUGACAUGUGCUACUCUUUGGUAAAGAUUGUGGGCAAUUUUUGUCUCCUUCUAAUGAUGUCCUGAGCACAAAACAUGCUUUACAAAAGGUUUAAGAAUUUAGUGAACGUAAUGGUGUCAAUAAGUUAAUACUUUAUGUCUGCCUCCAAGCUAUAUUUACCUAUGAAUGAGAAAAGGUAUGUUAUUCGUUUUCUUUCAUGAGCCUCAUACAGACUUUAAAGCAACCCUGAACGGAGACAUCCAAGCACAGACCUCAGCCCGUGUGCUACGUUCCUGUGGCAGGAUAUGCGAGGAUAGUUUAGAUCACUGCUGUUUUGCGAGAUGCAGUACACCUCAGUGAAAGAAUGAAAGACCUCCAGCUGCGCUUCUGUCCUCCUCCUCAGAGCGUUGAGCCGGGCGGCAGUUUCACCAGGCGCUGACGACAGCGUCUCAGGUCUGCCGCCGAGAGUCUGCAAGGUGCAGUGCCUUCCAGAGACCCCCGGGGAACCAGGAGGGAGGUGUUCCUUAACCUGUGGGAGGAAGGAGUGGAUAAAUCACUAUUUGUUUACCCUUUUAGAGCCUUAAUCGAGCAAUUAAAUCUUCUGAUUGUGUCAAAUUACAAAAGAAAGGGAGUGAAGUACU
rnacentral:lncRNA from 1 species